UACGAAGGGAGCUAGCGUUGUUCGGAAUUACUGGGCGUAAAGGGCGCGUAGGCGGACAUCUAAGUCAGGGGUGAAAUCCCAGGGCUCAACCCUGGAAUUGCCUUUGAUACUGGACGUCUCGAGUUCGGGAGAGGUGGAGUGGAAUUCCGAGUGUAGAGGUGAAAUUCGUAGAUAUUCGGAGGAACACCGAGAAGCGAAGGCGGCUCACUGGCCCGACUACGUGACGCUGAGGCGCGAAAGCGUGGGGAGCAAACAGGG
rnacentral:rRNA from 1 species